GGCGCUAUGGCCGAGUGGUCUAAGGCGACAGAUUUGAACCACCAAGUCUAUCUGUUCCUCUCUGAGGGCGCAGGUUCGAACCCUGCUGGCGUCG